AGAGUAAAUAUUGUGCGUCAAGUGUCAUGAGAUGGGAUGUUGCUCAUGAACGAAGGCAUUUCAGGAUGCCGCGGUUCAAUAUUGCAUCCGC
rnacentral:ncRNA from 1 species